AGUGAACGCUGGCGGUAGGCCUAACACAUGCAAGUCGAACGGCAGCACAGUAAGAGCUUGCUCUUACGGGUGGCGAGUGGCGGACGGGUGAGGAAUACAUCGGAAUCUACUUUUUCGUGGGGGAUAACGUAGGGAAACUUACGCUAAUACCGCAUACGACCUACGGGUGAAAGCAGGGGAUCUUCGGACCUUGCGCGAUUGAAUGAGCCGAUGUCGGAUUAGCUAGUUGGCGGGGUAAAGGCCCACCAAGGCGACGAUCCGUAGCUGGUCUGAGAGGAUGAUCAGCCACACUGGAACUGAGACACGGUCCGGACUCCUACGGGAGGCAGCAGUGGGGAAUAUUGGACAAUGGGCGCAAGCCUGAUCCAGCCAUACCGCGUGGGUGAAGAAGGCCUUCGGGUUGUAAAGCCCCUUUGUUGGGAAAGAAAAGCAGCAGGUUAAUACCCCGCUGUUCUGACGGUACCCAAAGAAUAAGCACCGGCUAACUUCGUG
rnacentral:rRNA from 1 species